rnacentral:rRNA from 1 species
GACGGGGGGGGCAAGUGUUCUUCGGAAUGACUGGGCGUAAAGGGCACGUAGGCGGUGAAUCGGGUUGAAAGUGAAAGUCGCCAAAAAGUGGCGGAAUGCUCUCGAAACCAAUUCACUUGAGUGAGACAGAAGGAGAGUGGAAUUUCGUGUGUAGGGGUGAAAUCCGUAGAUCUACGAAGGAACGCCAAAAGCGAAGGCAGCUCUCUGGGUCCCUACCGAGCGGGGUGCGAAAGCAUGGGGAGCGA